rnacentral:rRNA from 1 species
AUUUAUGGAGAGUUUGAUCCUGGCUCAGAGUGAACGCUGGCGGCGUGCUUAACACAUGCAAGUCGAGCGAGAUUCUACAGCACACCGUAGAGUCUAGCGGCAGACGGGUGAGUAACACGUAGGAAACUUUCCCUGAAAUGGAGGAUACCCCCGAGAAAUCGGGGCUAAUACUGCAUAAGACCACAUUCCGGCAUCGGAAAGAGGUCAAAGGCCCGCAAGGGUCGUUUCGGGAUGGUCCUGCGUCCUAUCAGCUAGUUGGUGAGGUAACGGC